CGGGUGGAGGAAUGGGCGUUCAAUUGGAGGGCAAGGGCGGCGUUGGAAGCGAGGGAGUGAGCGUGGAGGUGAGGAAGGCGUUGGGAGAUGUCGCUCGGAGGGAUUCUGAGCCGUAGAUCAUGGAUCAAAUGGCUGAGAGAAGCCGCUUUUGAAUCCAAGUCCAGGGCUUACUUUUGCUGCUCCGGUGUGAAUAUCAGUGGGAUUGAAUUGGGAUUGUCGUCUUCGUCGCCUUGAUCGCCGCCGACUCCGACUACGUCCACCGCC
rnacentral:lncRNA from 1 species